UGGGGAAUAUUGCACAAUGGGCGCAAGCCUGAUGCAGCCAUGCCGCGUGUAUGAAGAAGGCCUUCGGGUUGUAAAGUACUUUCAGUCGGGAGGAAGGUGGUAAGGUUAAUAACCUUAUCAAUUGACGUUACCGACAGAAGAAGCACCGGCUAACUCCGUGCCAGCAGCCGCGGUAAUACGGAGGGUGUAAGCGUUAAUCGGAAUUACUGGGCGUAAAGCGCACGCAGGCGGUUGAUUGAGUCAGAUGUGAAAUCCCCGGGCUUAACCCGGGAAUUGCAUCUGAUACUGGUCAGCUAGAGUCUUGUAGAGGGGGGUAGAAUUCCAUGUGUAGCGGUGAAGUGCGUAGAUAUAUGGAGGAACACCAGUGGCGAAGGCGGCUCUCUGGUCUGUAACUGACGCUGAGGCUCGAAAGCGUGGGGAGCAAACAGG
rnacentral:rRNA from 1 species